rnacentral:rRNA from 1 species
GAUCGAACGGCGUGGCGGCGUGCGUUAACACAUGCAAGUCGAACGGGAACAGUUUAUUAGAAGCUUCGGCAGAUUUAGCUUGUUUCCAGUGGCGGACGGGUGAGUAACGCGUGGGUAACCUGCCUCACACUGGGGGAUAACAGUCAGAAAUGACUGCUAAUACCGCAUAAGCGCACGGGGCCGCAUGGUUUUGUGUGAAAAACUCCGGUGGUGUGAGAUGGACCCGCGUUGGAUUAGCCAGUUGGCAGGGUAACGGCCUACCAAAGCGACGAUCCAUAGCCGGCCUGAGAGGGUGAACGGCCACAUUGGGACUGAGACACGGUCCAA